UACGUAGGGUCCAAGCGUUAUCCGGAAUUACUGGGCGUAAAGAGCUCGUAGGUGGUUUGUCGCGUUGUCCGUGAAAACUCACAGCUUAACUGUGGGCGUGCGGGCGAUACGGGCAGACUGGAGUACUGCAGGGGAGACUGGAAUUCCUGGUGUAGCGGUGGAAUGCGCAGAUAUCAGGAGGAACACCGGUGGCGAAGGCGGCAUCCUGGACCGGCAUUGACGCUGAGGCGCGAAAGCCAGGGGAGCAAACGGG
rnacentral:rRNA from 1 species